UACGAAGGGGGCUAGCGUUGCUCGGAAUCACUGGGCGUAAAGCGCACGUAGGCGGAUUCCUAAGUCGGUGGUGAAAUCCUGGAGCUCAACUCCAGAACUGCCUCCGAUACUGAGAGUCUCCGAGUCCGGGAGAGGUGAGUGGAACUGCGAGUGUAGAGGUGAAAUUCGUAGAUAUUCGCAAGACACCAGUCGGCGAAGGCGGCUCACUGGCCCGGUACUGACGCUGACGGUGAGCGAAAGACGUGGGGAGCAAACAGG
rnacentral:rRNA from 1 species